rnacentral:rRNA from 1 species
CCUACGGGAGGCAGCAGUAGGGAAUAUUGCUCAAUGGGGGAAACCCUGAAGCAGCAACGCCGCGUGGAGGAUGAAGGUUUUCGGAUUGUAAACUCCUUUUGUUAGAGAAGAUAAUGACGGUAUCUAACGAAUAAGCACCGGCUAACUCCGUGCCAGCAGCCGCGGUAAUACGGAGGGUGCAAGCGUUACUCGGAAUCACUGGGCGUAAAGAGCGCGUAGGCGGGAUAGCAAGUCAGAUGUGAAAUCCUAGGGCUUAACCAUAGAACUGCAUUUGAAACUGUUAUUCUAGAGUAUGGGAGAGGUAGGUGGAAUGCUUGGUGUAGGGGUGAAAUCCGUAGAGAUCAAGAGGAAUACUCAUUGCGAAGGCGACCUGCUAGAACAUAACUGACGCUGAUGCGCGAAAGCGUGGGGAGCAAACAGGAUUAGAUACCCGAGUAGUC